GAUCAUGGCUCAGGAUGAACGCUAGCUACAGGCUUAACACAUGCAAGUCGAGGGGCAGCAUUGGGGUAGCAAUACUCAGAUGGCGACCGGCGCACGGGUGAGUAACACGUAUCCAACCUGCCGCUUACUCGGGGAUAGCCUUUCGAAAGAAAGAUUAAUACCCGAUGGUAUAAAGAGUUCGCAUGUUCUCUUUAUUAAAGAAUUUCGGUAAGCGAUGGGGAUGCGUUCCAUUAGAUAGUUGGCGGGGUAACGGCCCACCAAGUCUACGAUGGAUAGGGGUUCUGAGAGGAAGGUCCCCCACAUUGGAACUGAGACACGGUCCAAACUCCUACGGGAGGCAGCAGUGAGGAAUAUUGGUCAAUGGACGAGAGUCUGAACCAGCCAAGUAGCGUGAAGGAUGACUGCCCUAUGGGUUGUAAACUUCUUUUAUAAGGGAAUAAAGUGAGGGACGUGUCCCUUUUUGUAUGUACCUUAUGAAUAAGGAUCGGCUAACUCCGUGCCAGCAGCUGC
rnacentral:rRNA from 1 species